AGAGUUUGAUCAUGGCUCAGGACGAACGCUGGCGGCGCGCCUAACACAUGCAAGUCGAACGAGCGAGAGAGAGCUUGCUUUCUCGAGCGAGUGGCGAACGGGUGAGUAACGCGUGAGGAAUCUGCCUCAAAGAGGGGGACAACAGUUGGAAACGACUGCUAAUACCGCAUAAGCCCACGGUGCCGCAUGGCACAGAGGGAAAAGGAGUAAUCCGCUUUGAGAUGGCCUCGCGUCCGAUUAGCUAGUUGGUGAGGUAACGGCCACCAAGGCGGCGAUCGGUAGCCGGACUGAGAGGUUGAACGGCCACAUUGGGACUGAGACACGGCCCAGACUCCUACGGGAGGCA
rnacentral:rRNA from 1 species